UGGGGAAUAUUGGACAAUGGGCGCAAGCCUGAUCCAGCCAUGCCGCGUGAGUGAUGAAGGCCUUAGGGUUGUAAAGCUCUUUCAGUGGGGACGAUAAUGACGGUACCCACAGAAGAAGCCCCGGCUAACUUCGUGCCAGCAGCCGCGGUAAUACGAAGGGGGCUAGCGUUGUUCGGAUUUACUGGGCGUAAAGCGCACGUAGGCGGGUCGUUAAGUCAGGGGUGAAAUCCUGGAGCUCAACUCCAGAACUGCCUUUGAUACUGGCGACCUAGAGUCCGGAAGAGGUGAGUGGAACUCCUAGUGUAGAGGUGGAAUUCGUAGAUAUUAGGAAGAACACCAGUGGCGAAGGCGGCUCACUGGUCCGGUACUGACGCUGAGGUGCGAAAGCGUGGGGAGCAAACA
rnacentral:rRNA from 1 species